rnacentral:rRNA from 1 species
UACGUAGGGUGCGAGCGUUAAUCGGAAUUACUGGGCGUAAAGCGUGCGCAGGCGGCUUCGCAAGUCAGACGUGAAAUCCCCGGGCUUAACCUGGGAAUGGCGUUUGAAACUACGGAGCUGGAGUAUGGCAGAGGGGGGUGGAAUUCCACGUGUAGCGGUGAAAUGCGUAGAUAUGUGGAGGAACACCAGUGGCGAAGGCGGCUCACUGGACCGGAACUGACGCUGAGGCGCGAAAGCGUGGGGAGCAAACAGG